rnacentral:rRNA from 1 species
GGAUGCCUUGGCACUAGGAGCCGAUGAAGGACGUGAUAAGCUGCGAUAAGCUUCGGGGAGUUGCACGUAAACUUUGAUCCGAAGAUUUCCGAAUGAGGAAACUCACUUAGAGUAAUGUCUAAGUAUCAUUAAGUGAAUACAUAGCUUAAUGAGGGGAACUCAGGGAACUGAAACAUCUAAGUACCUGAAGGAAGAGAAAGAAAUUCGAUUCCGUAAGUAGCGGCGAGCGAACGCGGGUUAGCCCAAACCAAUAAAGUUUUCUUUAUUGGGGUUGCGGACAUAUCAUAACGAAGAGGAAUCGUAAUUGAAGAGGUUUGGAAAGACCCACCACAGAAGGUAAUAGUCCUGUAUGUUAAACGAGAAGACUUCAGAUAUGAUCCAGAGUACCACGGGACACGUGAAACCCUGUGGGAAGCAGGAGGGACCACCCUCCAAGGCUAAAUACUACCUAGUGACCGAUAGCGUAUAGUACC